rnacentral:lncRNA from 1 species
GGGAGGUCAACAGGCUGCUGAGAUGUGUCUUAGAAAGCUGCAGAGCUGGCAGAGCAGAAAUCUUCCAUGGAAUCUGGAGAGUCACACAUAUAAGGCAGACAGAGGCAAAAUCCAGGCUGUCUGAGGUACCCAAUGUCACACCUCGAGCUGUGGAAUUUGCAGGUGCUCCUGGGUUCUCAUCAGCCCCUUUCAAGGCGUGAGGGAAACCAUCUCGGUCCUCUGUGAUCUGCUCCCUGGGAUACAGAUAGCAGGACAAAGCAGUCAUUCUCUUUUUCUCCCAUGGAAUGUGAGAUCUGAGCAAGAUCUGUGUGUUGUCCCUAAGGCGCUGGGCUGAGCUGGGAUUACUUUCUCA